UUUGACCGUGGGGUUGAAGUGGUGGCAUCGAAGGAGCUCGGCGUACACGAAUGCUCUAGUCAUCGAGCUGCUAUCCGUCCAUGGCGGCCGCCGUCCUCCCCUCGUUGUCGCCCUUCGUCCUCUCACCUCCUCUCGCUCGCUUCGCCCGGUCUCGCUUCUACAACCCCCGCCUUCGCACCCCCAUCAGGCCACUCUCCGCUUCCCCUCUAUCCUCUUUCUCCUCGCCCUCGGCCUCCUCAUCCCUUUCUCCCCCUCCUACUGCCACCGAAACCGUAGCUUCCAGUCCUCCCUUGGACCCUCCCUCCUCUUCUCGGCUUCUAUGGGUCCCCAGAACGGGCUAUUGCGGCGAGUUAGGUACCAAUGACGUCGGCAAACGAGUCAGGCUCUGUGUCUGGGUAGCUCUCCACCGGAUUCACGGCGGCCUCACAUUCUUCAACCUCAGAGACAGCUCUGGAAUCGUCCAGGUUACCACGCUUCCUAAUGAUUAUCCGGAAGCUUAUUUAACUGCAAACAAGAUGAGAGUAGAGUAUGUGGUUGCUGUAGAGGGACAGUGAGGUCUCGGCCACUGGAGUCUGUGAACAAGAAGAUGCAGAAUGGGGAUAUAGAGGUUGCUGCAGAGCAUAUCAUUGGAUUAUUUCCUGUAAAUCGUGCAUUGCCUUUUCCAGUUACCAUUUCAGACAAUGUAAAGGAUACUAUAACCGAAGAAAUCAGAUUAAGGUGCACGUGAUUAUCUUGUGCAUGUAAUUAUCUUGUGCCAUCGCAUAUUCAGGACUCUGAUUCGAGACGGGCGUCUCGACUUGGAUUUGCUAGAUUGGACCUUUCUAUUUUU